rnacentral:rRNA from 1 species
UACGUAGGGUGCGAGCGUUACUCGGAAUUACUGGGCGUAAAGCGUGCGCAGGCGGUUUUGUAAGCCAGAUGUGAAAUCCCCGGGCUUAACCUGGGAAUGGCAUUUGGGACUGCAAGGCUUGAGUUUGGCAGAGGAGACUGGAAUUCCUGGUGUAGCAGUGAAAUGCGUAGAUAUCAGGAGGAAUACCGAUGGCGAAGGCAGGUCUCUGGGCUGAAACUGACGCUCAUGCACGAAAGCGUGGGGAGCAAACAGG